rnacentral:ncRNA from 2 species
UAUAAUCGCCUGUCUUUAUGUUUAUCGCUUUAUUAAUACGAUAAUUAAAUGGGAAGCAUGUUUUAGCAGCUUUAAAAAUUGCUAAAAAUGAGCAUGCACUGCCCCCGCAACUGUGCCCGUUUUUAAAUCUAAAAAUGGUAGUCAGAUACCAGCAUAAAGAGCGUCACUGUC